rnacentral:siRNA from 1 species
UAAACACGUGCUGAGCUCUAUUCU